rnacentral:misc_RNA from 1 species
CCGAGAACCGGCGCCCUCGUGGCCCGACCCUCAAACCACCGCGUACCGAACUUGAACGUUGCCUCGGCGGGGCCCCAGGGGACCGCCGCAGGACGCAAACAAGACCGUUUCGUGUGACGAACGUCUGAUAUUCUUCUUCGCGAAUGCGAUAAAGUA